rnacentral:rRNA from 1 species
AGAGUUUGAUCCUGGCUCAGAUUGAACGCUGGCGGCAGGCCUAACACAUGCAAGUCGAGCGGAUGAAGAGAGCUUGCUCUCUGAUUCAGCGGCGGACGGGUGAGUAAUGCCUAGGAAUCUGCCUGGUAGUGGGGGACAACGUUUCGAAAGGAACGCUAAUACCGCAUACGUCCUACGGGAGAAAGCAGGGGACCUUCGGGCCUUGCGCUAUCAGAUGAGCCUAGGUCGGAUUAGCUAGUUGGUGGGGUAAAGGCUCACCAAGGCGACGAUCCGUAACUGGUCUGAGAGGAUGAUCAGUCACACUGGAACUGAGACACGGUCCAGACUCCUACGGGAGGCAGCAGUGGGGAAUAUUGGACAAUGGGCGAAAGCCUGAUCCAGCCAUGCCGCGUGUGUGAAGAAGGUCUUCGGAUUGUAAAGCACUUUAAGUUGGGAGGAAGGGCAUUAACCUAAUACGUUAGUGUUUUGACGUUACCGACAGAAUAAGCACCGGCUAACUUCGUGCCAGCAGCCGCGGUAAUA